rnacentral:rRNA from 1 species
CACGUAGGGGGCAAGCGUUGUCCGGAUUUAUUGGGCGUAAAGAGCGUGUAGGCGGCCAGGUAGGUCUGCUGUGAAAACUCGAGGCUUAACCUCGAGAUGUCGGCGGAAACCAUCUGGCUAGAGUCCGGAAGAGGAGAAUGGAAUUCCCGGUGUAGCGGUGAAAUGCGCAGAUAUCGGGAAGAACACCCGUGGCGAAGGCGGUUCUCUGGGACGGUACUGACGCUGAGACGCGAAAGCGUGGGGAGCGAACAGG